rnacentral:misc_RNA from 1 species
AGGUGCAAUCAUAGAAGACACUUUAUUGAUGGGUGCAGAUUAUUAUGAGACGGACGCCGACCGUAGAUUAUUGGCGGCAAAGGGUAGUGUACCAAUUGGAAUUGGUAGAAACUCUCACAUCAAGAGAGCUAUCAUUGACAAAAAUGCUCGCAUCGGGGAGGAUGUCAAGAUUGUGAAUGGAGACAAUGUUCAAGAAGCUGCAAGAGAGACAGAUGGUUACUUCAUAAAGAGUGGAAUUGUGACAGUAAUCAAGGAUGCUUUGAUUCCCAGUGGCACCGUCAUCUAAAGCCCACCACAACACAACACAACACAACACA